UCGGGAAUAUUGCGCAAUGGAGGAAACUCUGACGCAGUGACGCCGCGUAUAGGAAGAAGGUUUUCGGAUUGUAAACUAUUGUCCACAGGGAAGAAAAAAGACUGUACCUGUGAAGAAAGCUCCGGCUAACUACGUGCC
rnacentral:rRNA from 1 species